GAGUUUGAUCCUGGCUCAGGAUGAACGCUAGCGGCAGGCCUAACACAUGCAAGUCGAGGGGUAACAUGGUAGCUUGCUACCGAUGACGACCGGCGCACGGGUGCGCAACGCGUAUACAAUCUGCCCCCUACUGUGGGAUAGCCCAGAGAAAUUUGGAUUAAUACCACAUGGUACCAUAUUACGGCAUCGUAUUUAUGGUUAAAGGUUACGGUAGGGGAUGAGUAUGCGUCCCAUUAGUUAGUUGGUGAGGUAACGGCUCACCAAGACCGCGAUGGGUAGGGGCCCUGAGAGGGGGAUCCCCCACACUGGUACUGAGACACGGACCAGACUCCUACGGGAGGCAGCAGUGAGGAAUAUUGGACAAUGGGCGGGAGCCUGAUCCAGCCAUGCCGCGUGCAGGAAGAAUGCCCUAUGGGUAGUAAACUGCUUUUAUACGGGAAGAAAAAGGGCUACGUGUAGCCUACUGACGGUACCGUAAGAAUAAGGACCGGCUAACUCCGUGCCAGCAGCCGCGGUAAUACGGAGGGUCCGAGCGUUAUCCGGAAUUAUUGGGUUUAAAGGGUCCGUAGGCGGGCCGAUAAGUCAGGGGUGAAAGUUUGCAGCUCAACUGUAAAAUUGCCUUUGAUACUGUCGGUCUUGAGUUAUAGUGAAGUUGCCGGAAUAUGUAGUGUAGCGGUGAAAUGCAUAGAUAUUACAUAGAACACCGAUUGCGAAGGCAGGUGACUAACUAUAUACUGACGCUGAUGGACGAAAGCGUGGGGAGCGAACAGGAUUAGAUACCCUGGUAGUCCACGCCGUAAACGAUGGAUACUAGCUGUCCCGGGUCCUUGAGACCUGGGCGGCCAAGCGAAAGUGAUAAGUAUCCCACCUGGGGAGUACGUUCGCAAGAAUGAAACUCAAAGGAAUUGACGGGGGCCCGCACAAGCGGUGGAGCAUGUGGUUUAAUUCGAUGAUACGCGAGGAACCUUACCAGGGCUUAAAUGCAUUUUGACAGGGGUAGAGAUACCUUUUCCUUCGGGCAAUUUGCAAGGUGCUGCAUGGUUGUCGUCAGCUCGUGCCGUGAGGUGUCAGGUUAAGUCCUAUAACGAGCGCAACCCCUACCGUUAGUUGCCAGCGAGUCAUGUCGGGGACUCUAACGGGACUGCCGGUGCAAACCGUGAGGAAGGUGGGGACGACGUCAAAUCAUCACGGCCCUUACGUCCUGGGCCACACACGUGCUACAAUGGCCGGUACAGCGGGAAGCCAUGCGGCAACGCAGAGCGGAUCCACAAAACCGGUCACAGUUCGGAUCGGGGUCUGCAACUCGACCCCGUGAAGCUGGAAUCGCUAGUAAUCGGAUAUCAGCCAUGAUCCGGUGAAUACGUUCCCGGGCCUUGUACACACCGCCCGUCAAGCCAUGGAAGCCGGGAGUGCCUGAAGUCCGUCACCGCAAGGAGCGGCCUAGGGCAAGAUCGGUAACUAGGGCUAAGUCGUAACAAGGUAACCA
rnacentral:rRNA from 1 species